rnacentral:lncRNA from 1 species
AAGCGUUCUCCACACUAAUGAAGGUCUUCGAAAGGAGUUGGCCCAGACCAAGGAAGAUGCGAAAUCGUCCAAUGAAGAAUUGAAGUCAACCAAGGCCCAAUACCAAGAGAUCGUCAAGAUGAACGUUGACUUGGUUCAGAGGAGUGAAAUAAGGAGAAGAUCAAAGAACUGAAGGCUAACACUAAGAUCCUGACCAAAUCGAUUUCAAAGCUGGAGUUACAAGAGACUCUCCAUCUGAAUAGGCGUCAGAAGCUCGAAGAGGAAAUCAGGGAACUCCGGGCUCUUCGGGAUCUGGGACGUCCCUUAACUGAUGAUCUCCGCAAGCAGAUCUGCGAAGAGUAUCGGAAAUCAGACGAGAUCAAUGGAGAGAUCAUGAAAAUAUACUCUGAAGGCUAUGAGUUUUGUCGAAGUCGUGGUAAAGAAAAACUGAUAUCAGCCAAGGUGGACCCGG